rnacentral:rRNA from 1 species
AACGUACGCUGGCGGCACGCCUAACACAUGCAAGUCGAACGCAGUAGCAAUACUGAGUGGCAGACGGGUGAGUAACAUGUGGGAAUCUGCCUUGUGGUUCAGGACAACAUUGGGAAACCGAUGCUAAUACUGGAUAAGCCCUUACGGGGAAAGUUUUAAUGCCAUAAGAUGAGCCCGCAUUUGAUUAGUUAGUUGGUGAGGUAAUGGCUCAACAAGACAAUGAUCAAUAGCUGAUCUGAGAGGAUGAUCAGCCACACUGGGACUGAGACACGGCCCAGACUCCUGCGGGAGGCAGCAGUGGGGAAUCUUGCACAAUGGAGGAAACCCUGAUGCAGCGAUGCCGCGUGAGUGAAGAAGGCCUUUGGGUUGUAAAGCUCUUUUGUAGGGGAAGAUAAUGACUGUACCCUAAGAAUAAGGUCCGGCUAACUUCGUGCCAGCCGCCGCGGUAA